GACGAACGCUGGCGGCGUGCUUAACACAUGCAGGUCGAACGGAAAGGCCCUGCUUUUGUGGGGUGCUCGAGUGGCGAACGGGUGAGUAACACGUGAGUAACCUGCCCUUGACUUUGUGAUAACUUCAGGAAACUGGGGCUAAUACCGGAUAGAAGCUCCUGCUGCAUGGUGGGGGUUGGAAAGUGUCGGCGGUUGGGGAUGGACUCGCGGCUUAUCAGCUUGUUGGUGGGGUAGUGGCUUACCAAGGCUUUGACGGGUAGCCGGCCUGAGAGGGUGACCGGCCACAUUGGGACUGAGAUACGGCCCAGACUCCUACGGGAGGCAGCAGUGGGGAAUAUUGCACAAUGGGCGGAAGCCUGAUGCAGCAACGCCGCGUGCGGGAUGACGGCCUUCGGGUUGUAAACAGAUUUCGCCUGUGACGAAGCGUGAGUGACGGUAAUGGGUAAAGAAGCACCGGCUAACUACGUG
rnacentral:rRNA from 1 species